CCUACGGGAGGCUGCAGUGGGGAAUAUUGCACAAUGGGCGCAAGCCUGAUGCAGCCAUGCCGCGUGUGUGAAGAAGGCCUUCGGGUUGUAAAGCACUUUCAGCGGGGAGGAAGGCGUUAAGGUUAAUAACCUUGUCGAUUGACGUUACCCGCAGAAGAAGCACCGGCUAACUCCGUGCCAGCAGCCGCGGUAAUACGGAGGGUGCAAGCGUUAAUCGGAAUUACUGGGCGUAAAGCGCACGCAGGCGGUCUGUCAAGUCGGAUGUGAAAUCCCCGGGCUCAACCUGGGAACUGCAUUCGAAACUGGCAGGCUAGAGUCUUGUAGAGGGGGGUAGAAUUCCAGGUGUAGCGGUGAAAUGCGUAGAGAUCUGGAGGAACACCGGUGGCGAAGGCGGCCCCCUGGACAAAGACUGACGCUCAGGUGCGAAAGCGUGGGGAGCAAACAGGAUUAGAUAUCCGUGUAGUC
rnacentral:rRNA from 1 species